rnacentral:rRNA from 1 species
AUACGGAGGACGCGAGCGUUAUCCGGAUUCAUUGGGUUUAAAGGGUGCGCAGGCGGCCGUGCAAGUCAGCGGUGAAAGCCCGGGGCCCAACCCCGGAAGUGCCGUUGAUACUGCAUGGCUUGAAUGCGGUCGAGGCGGGCGGAACGUGGCGGGUAGCGGGGGAAUGCGUAGAUAUGCCACAGAACGCCGAUAGCGGAGGCAGCUCGCCAGGCCUGCAUUGACGCUCGGGCACGAAAGCGUGGGGAUCGAACAGGAUUAGAUACCCUGGUAGUCCACGCCGUAAACGAUGGGCGCUCGUCGUCGGCGGCAGACAGUCGGCGGCCAAGCGAAAGCGAUAAGCGCCCCACCUGGGGAGUACGGUCGCAAGGCUGAAACUCAAAUGAAUUGGCGGGG